GGGGGCGUCUUAAUACUUGCCCACUAGGCCUUCCAUAAGGGACGGACCCGAGCAGCCGUCAGCUGUGCAGAGUCAGCCCCGUCUGCUGCCGUCGAAGUCGGGAGGAACAGCUACUGUAGAGUCAGCCCCGUCUGCUGCCGUCGAGGUCGGGAGGAACAGCUACAGCAGUCCCCGGGAGCAGAGACAGCCCUCAGUGUUCUUAAUAACUUUUGUGGGAAUCAAGUUCCUGUCGUGGUCGGGACGCAGGAAUUGACAACCCCAACACCUUAUAUUUCUCAUCCCUCGUUGAUUCGGUCCUCCUAAUAGGCAGCCCCCCCCCCUGUCGUAUCCAGUGUUCAGGCAGGAGGUCAAAAUCCGGGAGCAGGUAGCGAUGCAAAGGUACCAACAAGGAUCAGGCAGGACGGAACGAGGUCUUGAACAUACAAGGAUCAUCAACAAAAGGCCAAACAGGAAAUCAGAUCAACGCUCAGAAUGUGACGGUAAACUACACAAGACUUGGCAAGGGACACAAAGGAAUCAGGGGUAUAUAUACAGACCAGCUUGAUGGGUAACCAGACACAGGUGUGUAGGGAUAAGUGGGCAACUCUAUCCAAGGAGUGGGCGUGCACAACAGAUAGGCAGAAACAGAACAAACCAACUAGACAGUAAACGGGGGAAUUUGGGGUCCAGAUUUGAAGCCAUCAGUACUCUGGGGAAGAGGAACGCUGGAUUGUGAGAGUAGUCUUGAUUUGAUUGGUUCCCCCUUCUACUUACCAGCGUGCUAUUGUAGUUAACUCUCCCUGUUUGAUCACCAUGGUUGUAGUGCCACCUCUUGAACACUAGAGUGCAGUAUCGUGGAGUGUCGUAUUAUAUUUCCCCAGUUUGUAGUGUGUUUCUGUGGGUGGAUCAAACAAGCAGGCUGUCAGUGAGGGGGGCCUUCUAUUCCAGACUCCAGUUAUUAGUACCAUGGGCGAUUGGGGAGGACUACCCUUUUGAGAGGGCUGGAGAUACUUGUUUUACUAUUAAAGCAUAUUUGUGUACAUUGGCCUCGAAGGGUUUUCUGUGUUGCCUUGUGCCAAGUUCCAAACCCUGCACUGUGACUGUGACAUGUGUGUGUAUGGGUUUGAAUGUGUGUUUUUUGUACCAACAUUUACAAGCAGGCCCUGUAAAAAUAUCCUGACAUUUCGUAGAGGAAGAUUGUUGUCCUGUUAGAGGAAGCUACAACCCACAUUUCCACGGUUAACACUUUGAAACGUUCAAACUGUACCCAACAUCUGUCUGUUGGCUAAUGUUCUGCAUGCAUGGAUGUAUAGCACAGGUGUGAACACAACAGCACUGCAGUUAUGCUAUAGACUUACUGACUGCAGAUAUACUAACAUAUAACAACACUAACUGUGGGUAUACUGUAAACGAUCACAGAGAUGUGAAGGCUACAGAACAAGAGAGCUACUUAAAGUGUUGCCCUCAUCUUCCUCUUUUCACGGUGCUAGACAUGAGGCAAGACUUGAGGGAAGAUGUGAGGUAAGACGUGAGGUAAGACGUUCUGCGUUUAGAACUGCUCUUCCAUCCAGCUUCCUCACAAGCGCACGACGACAGCAGAGACGAGCCAGUCUGAAACGACGGACCUAGAGCCAUCAUUCUGAUGCUGUAGGUGUUAGAGACCUAGAGCUGUCACUCUGAUGCUGUAGGUGUUAGAGACCUAGAGCUGUCACUCUGAUGCUGUAGGUGUUAGAGACCUAGAGCUGUCACUCUGAUGCUGUAGGUUUUACGGGAUCAUACAAUACUGUAAGUAGUGUUAGUGUUUGAGAGACUAGUCAAGGAGCACUGGAACCAGAGGAAAUACUCCAAGGACAUCUACGCUCCACCAGAGAUGACCCAGAUGGUGAAGUCUGACAGGGGGGAGAUGGAGGAGAUGACUAUCUACGCUAAUGUUGACACCUUCAGAGGAGAUCAGCUGUCAGGUGCUGGGGGUCCAGAGAGGAGUCUCUCCAGAGCUGCAGCAGUGUGUCUGGGGCUGCUGUGUGCUCUCUUACUGGCUGGGGUCGUAGCACUGGGAGUCAUCUUGUCUGUGGAGAGACAACAGCACCAGACCAAGUAUGAUAUCCUGACCAGACAGAGAGACCAGCUGAACACCAGUAACAUCAACCUGACCAGAGAAAGAGAUGACCUUGAGAGGAGGAUAUGCAGAAUUUGUUCACACUACAACCAGAAACCUAGGCAGUGUCUGGUUGGGUCUGACUGAUAACGUUCCACCAACGUUCUACCGUCAGUGGACCUGGGUGGACGGAACACCUCUGGAUCCGUCCAAAACAUACUGGGCAGCAGGGGAACCCAACAUCCCUUCUGGCUCUAGCUGUGUACUACGAUGGUUACCUGAUCAGCUGGCUAACAGAAGCCUGGCUGAUGACUCAUGCUACCAUAACAUGUACUAUGUGUGUGAGAUGUGACCUGUAAUACAUUUCAGGUCACUAUUCUUCCUCGUGCAGUUAAUCAGUUCAGUGUAGGUUUCCUUGACGGCUCUGUUUCAAUCAAACAUUCUUCAUGCUCUUUGGUUAAAAAAAGUCAUUUUAGGUCCUACUUACAUGAUCUUUGUCUUACAGUGAAAACUGUGUACAAUACAUUAAUAAAUUCUAUAUUCUUACUGGUGUCGAAGGAUCCUUAAGGGGCCUUCGUUUGAACAAAGAAAUAAUGAAUGGAAAUGCUUACUAAAUAAUAUGUUUAUUUGCUUAGGAUGUGUUAGAAAUGGCUUGCAUAUGUGUAUUUAGACAGGAUGGAAUAGCAACUGCUUGCAUAUGUGUAUCUUGACAGGAUGUAUUACAAACUUCCUGCCUAAGAUGUGGUAGAGAGAGAUUAGAUUAGAAGAGACGUGUACAGGUUUCCUGUGCACAGAAACAGGCUCCAAGGCCGUAGCCAUGGAGUCAACAUUGGGGGGGACGAAUUGCAAUUCCGACAACGUGCUUGGUUUCCUGUCGUAGCAUAGGACAUUUGUAUUUUUUUUAAUCAAUAUAUUGGGGGGGGGGGAUAUUUUGACCGGAUUUGAAUUUAUUAUGAUUACGGCCUUGUAUAAAUAUGAUGUGUGUCAAUGAAAAACUCACUGUAUCCCUCAACCUCUCACUCUAUCCCUCAACCUCUCGUUGUAUCCCUCAACCUCUCACUCUAUCCCUCAACCUCUCACUGUAUCCCUCAACCUCUCACUGUAUCCCUCAACCUCUCACUGUAUCCCUCAACCUCACUGUAUCCCUCAACCUCUCACUCUAUCCCUCAACCUCUCACUGUAUCCCUCAACCUCUCACUCAAUCCCUCAACCUCUCACUGUAUCCCUCAACCUCUCACUGUAUCCCUCAACCUCUCACUCUAUCCCUCAAUUUCUCACUCUCUACCUCACUCGGACUCUCAGGCUUUUUAGCUUACUCUCUUUUGACUCUUUUGCUGACUUUUUUGCUCACUGUCUGUACAGAGACUUAGAAGCUUACCUCAUUCAAAGGAGAUUUUCUAGUUUUAAGAACUUAGAAUAGUUUAGAAGGUACUCCUUAAAAGGGGAUAUAUGUACUGUAUUGUUUUUUUCUAAUCAAAUAAAAAGUUAAAAGACAGUCGCUGUCCUUCCUCAUUUAAAGAGACUAUUAAAGUUCAAAUAGAAAGGCACAAGACGACAUAAGGAUAGUGGCCCUCCUCCAGAUCUGAGGGACACACCACGCCAAGACAAAGGAUAGCGGCCUUCCUCCAGAUCUGAGGGAUACGCCACGCCAAGACAAAGGAUAGUGGCCCUCCUCCAGAUAUGAGGGACACGCCACGCCAAGACAAAGGAUAGUGGCCCUCCUCCAGAUAUGAGGGACACGCCACGCCAAGACAAAGGAUAGUGGCCCUCCUCCAGAUCUGAGGGACACGCCACGCCAAGACAAAGGAUAGCGGCCCUCCUCCAGAUAUGAGGGACACGCCACGCCAACACAAAGGUGAGUCCUGGGAAUCACGACCAGCCAUGACAUAUAGCACAUAUAGCUGCAAGCAGCCAUGACAUAUAGCACAUAUAGCUG